GACGAACGCUGGCGGCGUGCCUAACACAUGCAAGUCGAGCGAGCGGAGUUCUUCGGAACAAAGCUAGCGGCGGACGGGUGAGUAACACGUGGGCAACCUGCCUCAUAGAGGGGAAUAGCCUCCCGAAAGGGAGAUUAAUACCGCAUAAGAUUGUAGCUUCGCAUGAAGUAGCAAUUAAAGGAGCGAUCCGCUAUGAGAUGGGCCCGCGGCGCAUUAGCUAGUUGGUGAGGUAACGGCUCACCAAGGCGACGAUGCGGAGCCGACCAGAGAGGGUGAUCGGCCACAUUGGGACUGAGACACGGCCCAGACUCCUACGGGAGGCAGCAGUGGGGAAUAUUGCACAAUGGGGGAAACCCUGAUGCAGCAACGCCGCGUGAGUGAUGACGGCCUUCGGGUUGUAAAGCUCUGUCUUCAGGGACGAUAAUGACGGUACCUGAGGAGGAAGCCACGGCUAACUACGUGCCAGCAGCCGCCGUAACAC
rnacentral:rRNA from 1 species